GAGAAUUAUGCUGAGAUAGGUAACAGAUGAGGAUGAAAUUUGGGCUUGACUGAAGUAAUGGGGGCUGUCUGUGAAGCCUUGCGGCAGUACAGCCCAGGGGGCUUCCAAGGCAGUCGGGCAGCAUCAGUCUUCAGCCGCUAAGCCAAGAAGAUCUGGGAAGCAGUCAGAGAGCCUUGGGCCAGAGUUCCAGGGGCUCUGGGAGUGGCUGCCAGUGGUCUCAAAUAGUCAAGACCCCCUGCUGGGAGGAGCUUCUAUCCUGCUCUGUGGAA
rnacentral:lncRNA from 10 species